ACUGAGAGAGAAGUUUCACACGUACGAAAAUUUUGGUUUCACUGGUUUGUUACGAAACGGCUCACGGGUCGCUAACCCAAAACCUCCACCUCCUCCUCAUCGGACGCCUCCUUCCGCCCCUCCGAUUCCCCAUAAUCUCCGAUUCCGCCACCGGAGAUCAUUUCCCGGGCCUCAUCUCCGGCGCCGGCGAACGCAUUCAUGCUCGAAACUCGACAGUUGACCAUUUAUUGCUCUGUUAAGGUUCUCACCUGCGACGGCGCGUUUACUCACCUCCCGCUGAACCCGACGCCACGGAUUUCCUAGGGUUUCAUGUUCUGUGAGGUUGAAGGCCGCGAUACAGAGGCUUUCAUGUCGUUUGAAUGGAGAUUGCCUCUGCUGCCACCAUUGCCUUGUCGUCACAACCCUUUCCCAUAGCUGCGAUUGUUACGUUUCUUUGUUUUCUUCUCGCUCUUUUCGCCGCCGUUCACAUUAGGAGGGCGAAAGCGCUGCAAUCGGUGGGCGAGGGCGGUCUUUCUGACUCAUUGGUGGGUGCAAGGAAUUGUGAUUGUACCUGUUCGCUUAACGGUGGUGUGGUUAUUGGGGGUUCCGACCCCAGGGCUUCGAUUACUUCUUCAGCCAGGACGAGUAUGCCUUAUUUGAACGGCCGUGUAGUGGAAGUGUUGGAGAAGGCACCGGUGGUCGUGACGGAGCGGCAGACGGGCGCUUCGAUGAUGGAGCAGUUGGUUCCGGAGAUUACUACGCACGCUCUUAGUUACUUGGAUUAUCCCAGUCUGUGCCGUUUGUCCAUGACUAAUUCGUUGAUGCGCAAGGCAGCGAAUGAUGAUAAUGCCUGGAAGGCGCUUUAUCAUAAGGACUUCACACUGGAACAGGAUACUGUAACUCCAACAAACGGGUGGAAGGCUUAUUAUGCUGCAACAAGAACAAUUAUGAAUGUCAAUGCCCAAUUCUUUAACAUCGUCAGAGAGAGGUCUCUUCAAGCGAUGAGUCAUUUUUGGUUGAAUGCAGAUUACGUGAAGUGUAUUCAUGCCUCAGGAGAAUUCUUUUCUGGGUAUAAUGCAGUAAUUCAGAGCUGGCAGCUUGCGUUUAAUUGGGAACAAGGGAUUAAUUUUCAGGUGCGUGAUGCACGGGCUCGUGUCCUUUCAGACAUGGCCUGGGUUAGCAUGAAAACCUAUGUCGACAUGGAUACAGGACCAUUCAAUGUGACUAACAUCUACGAGUUCCAUAACGGUCGAUGGUACAUGGUUCAUCAUCACAGCUCUGUGAUGCUUAUUGAUGGAGAGGUGGAACAACAAAUGGUGCAGGGAUAACAGAGCAAAGCAAAGAUAGAAGAGAAAGUAAACCAUGGAAAUAUACAAUACUAGCUUUCAGGAAUUCAAUCCCCCUUCAAAAUUCGAUCCUUGGAAGUAUGUAAAUGAGAAGUUUAGAAGUACUUUUCCAUAGUUUGCUUCAUGCGAACAAGAAAAAAACUUAUAAAAUGGUACGGAAUUUAGUAGGGUCAGGCAGUUGGCCCGUGAAUAGUCGAGGUGUGCACAAGCUGAUCCAGACACACGGAUUUUAAAAGGAAAAAAAAAAGGUAUGGAAUUUUGAACGAAG